UACAGAGGUCUCAAGCGUUGUUCGGAUUCAUUGGGCGUAAAGGGUGCGCAGGUGGCUGGGUAAGUUUGAUGUGAAAGCCCCGGGCUUAACCCGGGAAUGGCAUUGAAUACUAUUCGGCUGGAGGAUUGGAGGGGGGGACGUGGAAUUCUUGGUGUAGCAGUGAAAUGCGUAGAUAUCAAGAGGAACACCAGUGGCGAAGGCGAGUUCCUGGACAAUUCCUGACACUGAGGCACGAAAGCCAAGGGAGCAAACAGG
rnacentral:rRNA from 1 species